GCCACUUUAGCUCAGUCGGUAGAGCGGCUCACUCGUAAUGAGCAGGUCGACAGUUCG
rnacentral:tRNA from 1 species